rnacentral:rRNA from 1 species
GACGAACGCUGGCGGCGUGCUUAACACAUGCAAGUCGAACGGAAAGGCCCUGCUUUUGUGGGGUGCUCGAGUGGCGAACGGGUGAGUAACACGUGAGUAACCUGCCCUUGACUUUGGGAUAACUUCAGGAAACUGGGGCUAAUACCGGAUAGGAGCUCCUGCUGCAUGGUGGGGGUUGGAAAGUUUCGGCGGUUGGGGAUGGACUCGCGGCUUAUCAGCUUGUUGGUGGGGUAGUGGCUUACCAAGGCUUUGACGGGUAGCCGGCCUGGGAGGGUGACCGGCCACAUUGGGACUGAGAUACGGCCCAGACUCCUACGGGAGGCAGCAGUGGGGAAUAUUGCACAAUGGGCGGAAGCCUGAUGCAGCAACGCCGCGUGCGGGAUGACGGCCCUCGGGUUGUAAACCGCUUUCGCCUGUGACGAAGCGUGAGUGACGGUAAUGGGUAAAGAAGCACCGGCUAACUACGU